GAACGUGCGAGCACCGCGCGUUGGGUCCCUCGUGCGAGGCGUCGCCCAUGUGCUGGUGGCAAACCCUUCCCCAAUCACAACAUCCGCCAGAGCCACCGCGCCUGUCCUUCCUCCUCGCUGCCCCCUGCCGCGGCGCGCAUCCCUCGGAUCAUCGUGCCCAACUCCCCUUCGUGUUUCUCCUCCUCCCAGAACCACAUCCCGUCGCUUAGGCUCCUUGGUGGCGGCUGGCUCGAGGCGAGCCUGGCGCAGGCGGGGAGAAGCAACGGGGCGGCGGAUGUAGGCGGGAGAGUGCCGGACGGCGCCGUCAUUGUCGCCCCGCCAAGACGCAUCGAAGAAGGACCAGGAUCUCACCCUCGUCCCUUCUGGAUGCAACUCCCCAGUGAGUUCCUCCUGCCUAAUUCAGCUCCCCUUUCCAUCUAAUUUCAUUCUUGUUUCACAUGUUGGUUUGGUUGGCAAGAGACGUUGCGCCGCCGACUGCAGUAGCCAGGGUUGGCGUUGGUGAUGUCUAUAGUAUUUUCGUCCUCGCCAGUCACACAAUUCCUAGGUUAUGGGACUGGAUCUCCAUUUUCCAAGAUUCUUAGCUGAUAAGUAUAUUGUGCGGAAAAAUCUCUACUGAAUGACAAAUCCAAGCAAUCUGGAUACUCCAUGGGACAAAGUUGAAGCUUUGUACAUCACUUCUCUACCUGUUUAUUAAUGUUUCUUCAUGUUUGGCAGUGAUCUGGGUUUCCAUGUACUUGAUAGAUGCAUUCCUUAUCUUUAUGUGUUCCAUCUAUGUAUAUAUGUUUCUGCCCAUAAAUGUAUUUAUGAGCUUGCUCUGUUUUUACUGCUUUCCUAUGUCAAUUUGAAAAGUACCCUUUAUUCCCCUAAAAAGGGCUAUACAUGCAUUUAAACGAGUGCACAUUUUCUAUAAACAUAAGCAUUGUCUUUACCCCACUGCUCUCUGGUGUGCAGCGAUGAAGAUUUCAUGCUCAACCUCCCUCACGGCCCCGGGUUCGGCUACUUUCCAGUUUUGUUAGUUUUCUUCUUGGUAGCACUGAACACCAUGGCAACAUGGGUGUCGUGGCCACACACAUGCAUUUUGUCGUCCUCCUUAAAAUUCAAUUAGAUUAUAUGCAAACAUGCAGUCGUGUUUACUUAAGAUCCAAUUAGAUGAAUGAUGUUUAUUUUUCCAUAUAGUUUCUAUUUAGAAAGGCCUCAUAUGCAAGUUGGGGACAUGCCGUGAACAUAUGGUUUUGUGAUAUAUGGUCUUGAGUCAUAUGUUGGAUGGGUGAUAAUGGAAAUUUUCUUGAGGAUAAACCCGUGCAUAAGUUUUGUGAGAGUUAAACCUGUUUUAUGAGAGGUAAAGCUGUUUUUUGAGAGUUAAACCCGUGCAUACGAAUGUAUUUUUUUUAGAACUGGUCAAACUAUUUUUUGUGAGAGUUAAAGUUGUUUUCUAGAGGACAAACCCAUGAAUAAGUUUCUCAUCUGUAGAGAUUAAUUAAUAGGAUGGUAAUUUAAGUUUAUUGGAGCUCUUUUUAAGAAGUGGGGGUCUGCUUUGGUUUCUUGCUGUUUGCAUAUUCUCUUAAAAACACUUGACUGACUGCAGCUGACUGUUUAUACAUCAAUAAUAUGGGCAGUUGAAUAUGGCGUUUUCAAGUGAAGGAUUUCAAAAAUCUAAUAUGGCAUGCCUAUUUUUCAUGGAAAAACAAAUGGUACCUUAUUUACUAUUUAGUUUUUAAGCUAGACUAAUUUGACUACACGCGUCCUGAGGUGCCUUCUGUUUUGGAAUAGUCAUAGAAUGCUCCUUAUUACGAGAUGUUCCUUUGUCACUAUUGGAAAUUCUGCCUAGGGUGGCCUUUGUCUUAGUUUACAGCUUCAUAUGGCUACCUAUGUAUAACAUAUGUAUGUUCUGUUUGAACCAUCUCAAAUCACAUAGAGAUGUUAAAUUUUCAAUGUGUUGCCUCGCGGUCGUGUGCCAUCACCAUGUUUACUCCAGAAAAGUGGAAUGUGCAGAGUUUCUUGUUGAUUAGUCAAAUAUUUGCUUUGCCUUAAAGACUGUCCCCAUCUAUGUUCCAGGUUGUGGCAACGCUGCAGAUAUGCCCAUUGCCAUUGAGCAUUUCUAUCUAUAUGCUUAUACAGAGUAUUUGGUUUUUGUACUAUACGCUUGAUGAAAUAAUUUCCUUAUAAGCUGGGACAAGGCGUUUGUAGUUGAUAUUUGUACUAUAAGCUCAAUUUUUUUGGUUCAUCUCAUCUCUGGUUAUUUUUUCGUUUUUUGUGUUUCUGCAGCAUAUUAUCAUUAGCAUAUAAAACCUCUUAUCUUUCUUGUUUUCAACAAUUAUUCUUUGGCAGGGAAGACUAUGAUAACACUAAGAUUAUCAGGAAAGGAUUCAGGGCUUUUUUUGAAUCCAGAUUAUCACACAUGAUGCAAAAUUAACAACCAUGACUUUGAAAUAUGGAUGAUGAUGCUUAUUAUGUGCUAGAAAUCAAAUAUGUAAAGGAGAAGAUAAUGUUUGCGAAGGAGAGGGGAGAGAGAUACGGGUUGAUUCUGGGUAAACUUUGCUUAAUUUGUUGGAGAAAAUGCUCGAUAGAUCUCAUGGAUGGAUGAGGUUGUGGCAGUAGUUCUCGGGUGCAAUAUCUAUCUUGAUAGAGUGAUCAACUAGGGCACAUUAGAAGCAGAAGAGGAAACGUUUGGGCCGUCUAUGGUGUUGAAGAUUCAGUGUUUCUGUCUUGUGUACAUGCACGGCCAGUUCAGUAACUAGAUGGCCUUUUCUACUGUACUGGCGCUGCUACUUUUCACAUGCUAGCUUCUUUGGAAAGCGCCAACAGUGUGUACAACAUGUAAAGAGUCCAUCUUGAAGGAACAGAAGCGGAAGUAUGGAGCUGAUGUAUUAAUGGUCAAUCAAGGAAUUCAGUCUCGAUGAGCUUAACUAAUGAUGUGUGAGUUGAGCCUUAGGUCAUUUUCAAAGUAACGGAAGUACAAG
rnacentral:rRNA from 1 species